rnacentral:rRNA from 1 species
GAUGAACGCUGGCGGCGUGCCUAAUACAUGCAAGUCGAGCGAACGGACGAGAAGCUUGCUUUUCUGAUGUUAGCGGCGGACGGGUGAGUAACACGUGGAUAACCUACCUAUAAGACUGGGAUAACUUCGGGAAACCGGAGCUAAUACCGGAUAAUAUUUUGAACCGCAUGGUUCAAAAGUGAAAGGCGGUCUUGCUGUCACUUAUAGAUGGAUCCGCGCUGCAUUAGCUAGUUGGUAAGGUAACGGCUUACCAAGGCAACGAUGCAUAGCCGACCUGAGAGGGUGAUCGGCCACACUGGAACUGAGACACGGUCCAGACUCCUACGGGAGGCAGCAGUAGGGAAUCUUCCGCAAUGGGCGAAAGCCUGACGGAGCAACGCCGCGUGAGUGAUGAAGGUCUUCGGAUCGUAAAACUCUGUUAUUAGGGAAGAACAUAUGUGUAAGUAACUGUGCACAUCUUGACGGUACCUAAUCAGAAAGCCACGGCUAACUACGUG